rnacentral:rRNA from 1 species
CCAAUAGCGUAUAUUAAAGUUGUUGCAGUUAAAAAGCUCGUAGUUGAACUUCAGGCCUGUCCAGAUGGUCCGCCUUAAUUGGUGUGUACUGUCCUUGGGUGGGUCCUACCUUCUGGCGAAGCGGCAUGGCCUUAAUUGGUUGUGUCGGGGAACCAGGACUUUUACUGUGAAAAAAUUAGAGUGUUCAAAGCAGGCAAAUAUGCUCGAAUACAUUAGCAUGGAAUAAUGGAAUAGGACGAUGGUUCUAUUUUGUUGGUUCUAGGACCGUUGUAAUGAUUAAUAGGGAUAGUUGGGGGCAUUAGUAUUCAAUUGUCAGAGGUGAAAUUCUUGGAUUUAUUGAAGACUAACUACUGCGAAAGCAUUUGCCAAGGAUGUUUUCAUUAAUCAAGAACGAAAGUUAGGGGAUCGAAGACGAUCAGAUACCGUCGUAGUCUUAACCAUAAACUAUGUCGACUAGGAAUCGGGCGAUGUUGACAAAAUGACUCGCUCGGCACCUCAUG